rnacentral:rRNA from 1 species
UACGUAGGGUGCGAGCGUUAAUCGGAAUUACUGGGCGUAAAGCGUGCGCAGGCGGUUUUGCAAGCCGGAUGUGAAAUCCCCGGGCUCAACCUGGGAAUGGCAUUCGGGACUGCAAGGCUGGAGUGCGGCAGAGGAGACUGGAAUUCCUGGUGUAGCAGUGAAAUGCGUAGAUAUCAGGAGGAAUACCGAUGGCGAAGGCAGGUCUCUGGGCUGACACUGACGCUGAGGAGCGAAAGCGUGGGGAGCGAACAGG